UACAGAGGGGGCAAGCGUUGCUCGGAAUUACUGGGCGUAAAGGGCGUGUAGGCGGCCCACUAAGUCGGACGUGAAAUCCCCGGGCUCAACCCGGGAACUGCGUCCGAUACUGGUGGGCUUGAAUCCGGGAGAGGGAUGCGGAAUUCCAGGUGUAGCGGUGAAAUGCGUAGAUAUCUGGAGGAACACCGGUGGCGAAGGCGGGUUGCUGGGCUGACACUGACGCUGAGGCGCGAAAGCUAGGGGAGCGAACGGG
rnacentral:rRNA from 1 species